ensembl:lncRNA
UAUCAAUACUGGGAAGACAGAAACAGGCUCAGAAAUUAAGAGAAGGAGAGAGAGAGACAGAGACAGAGACAGAGACAGAGAGAAAAAAGGACAGAGAGAGAGAGAGAGAGAGACAUGGACCGAGAGUGCAUCACACGAGGGGUCAGGAGGAGAUGAAUAGAUCUACCCCACCUACCCAACGGACCCAUGGACCUUUUUGACCCCUCACCCCUGCAGCGAUUGGCUCUCCUGGUGUUGUGGCAGGGCCUGGCGUUGGGACUGAGCAGUUCUGCCUUGUGGUACCAAGUGGAGAGGAGAGACAGAGACAGGGCUGUGACCUGGAUCCAGGCCAGGCGGUUCUGUCAGAGGCACUACGUUGACCUGGCUGUCCUAAGCACCCAGGAUCAGUACCAGUUCCUUCUGCAGACCAUGGCUGCAGGUGAGAGGGACACGUUCUGGCUGGGUCUGCAGCCCCACACUGCCCCUGGUGGCUGGGGGUGGAUGUGGGUGGAUGGCCAGGGGCUGAGCUAUGAUCGCUGGUAUAUAAAGAGUCCUGGACCUGGACUCUGUGGUUGUCUGGAGACCAGCCUCAAAGGGGAGAAUAAACUACUGUCCAGAUCCUGUGGCGAGACCGUGGAACGACAUGGUUUCAUCUGCCAAGGCGCUGUACCCCCUGAGCGGCUAAAGGCGGAGUCUGAAGGGACUGAUCAUGUGACUGUGCAUUGGGACACGCCCCCUCUGAUGCAGACAGCUGAUCAUAGCUACAGAAUUACCACAUGUAGCUUCCAGCCUCACCCUCAUCUUUCUCUCCUCCACCCUUCUCUCCCUCCUUGCCACACCCCUCCUCUUUUCCUCUGUCCUUUCCCCCACCCCCCUCAUCCCACCACCCCAUGUUGCGUCCUCCACCUCCCCUACUCCAACAGUUCCACCUCCCACUCCACCCGGAUCUCUGGCCUAACCCCGGGAAUCCAGUACACCAUCAGCGUUGCCACAGUGAUCACGCGCCCAGAUCCUGUCACCGGUGACAACAUCACCACCGACAGUGACCCAGUCACGGUGACCGUCACAACAAUAGGGGGCGGUGGUGGGCAGCAGGUGGUUGCCAUGGUACUGAGUGUGGUCAAGUUCAUCUAUCUGGCUGUCUUACUCUGCUUACUUUACCUCAUCCUGAAGAGAAAUGCUGUCCAGGCUCCUGAACUUGAUCUGGAAUCAGUAGAACUCCCUACUGAAGAAGAAUACAUUUUAGACAUGAUUAAAACUGGUCCUACAUCAGUUGAAUUCCCCGAUGAAGAAUGCAUUGUUGAGCUGCCACCUGAAGAAUAAAGCAUUGUCUGACUAGAACUGGUUCUAGAUCAGUGGUGCCCCCCCCUGGAGAAUGCAUUGUUGAGCUGCCACCUGAUUACAACUGGUUGUAGAUCAGAAAACAGCAGCUCUACCUGCCAAAUCUACCAGCUUUUCUUGAUAGUGUAAAGAUUAAUGGAGAAUAUAAAUACAAGCUGCAGACAGUAUGCGUUAUUAGUCUUGAUACAUACUUAUAAACAAAAUAGUUUUAUCUUAACAAGAUAUACCUGUUUAACUAUAAGUUUUUAGAAAAGUAUUGAUACACACUUAAGUGCAAAGUAGAUUUGUUAUUCUCAACAAGGAAUUAAUAAGCAUUGAGAAUUAGUUAAGCUGCCUCUUUAAUAAACAGGUUAGAAAAAUAGGUAUUUUGACCUCAAAACGACGUUUAGAAAAUUAUUUUAUUUAUUUAUUUGAUAUUUUACCACACAUUGUCAGUAGUCAUGAUUUUCAUGCUGGGUAUGGAAACAUGUUGCCUCCUUAUGCAUAUAGAUAGGAGAAAUGUACAUUAGUUGUAUGUCAUAAAGUAUGUAAUAUAUAUAGCCUUAGUUCACAAAUGACACCCUAUUCGCUACAUAGUGCACUACUUUAGACCAGAUCCUUAUGGCACCGUAUUCCCUACAUAGUGCACUACUUUAGACCAGAUCCUUAUGGCACCGUAUUCCC